CAUGCAGUGACAUAGAAACACAGUCAUACACAGAUACAGACAAACACUGGCACACACACAUACAGACACACAGAGAGAGAUACACUGGCACAGACACACAUACAGAGACACAUACAUACAGACACAAUGAUACAAACACAGACACACAAACAGAUACACAGACACAUAAACAGAUACACAUACACACACUGGCACAUACAGA